rnacentral:rRNA from 1 species
ACUGUAGUCUGCAACCCGACUACACGAAGCUGGAAUCGCUAGUAAUCGCGGAUCAGCAUGCCGCGGUGAAUACGUUCCCGGGUCUUGUACACACCGCCCGUCACACCAUGGGAGCCGGAAAUGCCCGAAGCCUGUGACCCAACCCAGUAGGGAGGGAGCAGUCGAAGGUGGAGCCGGUAACUGGGGUGAAGUCGUAACAAGGUACC